rnacentral:rRNA from 1 species
CCUGCCAGUAGUCAUAUGCUUGUCUUAAAGAUUAAGCCAUGCAUGUCUAAGUUUAAGUGUUCUUACAACGAAACCGCGAAUGGCUCAUUAAAUCAGUUAUAGUUUACUUGGUCGAUGCUUACUACUUGGAUAACUGUAGUAAUUCUAGAGCUAAUACAUGCAAAAGACCCCAACUCUUCGGGGAAGGGGUGGCAUUAUCCACUUCAACGCUACUCGGGGUUCACGCCCUGUAUUACUUGAAUGGAGAUAAUUGUCCGAAUCGCGAGAACCGUAAGGCGGCGAUAGACCAACCAAGUUUCUGCCCUAUCAACUUGAUGGUAGUGUAUUGGACUACCAUGGUUAUAACGGGUAACGGGGAAUUAGGGUUCGAUUCCGGAGAGGGAGCCUGAGAGAUGGCUACCACUUCCAAGGAAGGCAGCAGGCGCGCAAAUUACCCAAUCUCAGUACGAGGAGGUAGUGACGAUAAAUAACGAUAUGGAUCCUUCGGGGUCCAUAAUCGGAAUGAGCACAGUGUAAAUAUCUUAACGAGGAACAAUUGGAGGACAAGUCUGGUGCCAGCACCCGCGGUAAUUCCAGCUCCAAGAGCGUAUAUUAAAGUUGUUGCAGUUAAAAAGCUCGUAGUCUGAAUUUGAGGAUUCUGGUAGUUUAGGGGCAUAUUCUUUCGUCUUGCACAUAUUAGCAUGGGACAAUGAAAGAAGACCGCGUCAGAGUCUGGUAGUAACUCGGGCGCGGUAAUGAUCGAUAGGGGCGAUGGGGGCGGUUGGUAUUCAGCGGCUAGAGGUGAAAUUCUUAGAUUCGCUGCAGACUCCCGGAAGCAAAAGCGUUCCGCUACUGUACCCCCGUUGAUCAAGAACGAAAGUUAGGGGAUCGAAGACGAUCAGAUACCGUCGUAGUCUUAACUAUAAACGAUGCGGACCAGAGGUUAAGCCUCAUCCUUACUCACUCGGUCAGGACAUAGUAAGGAUUGACAGAUUGAUAGCUCUUUCUUAAUUUCUAUGGGUGGUGGUGCAUGGUCGUUCUUAGUUGGUGGAGUGAUUUGUCUGGUUAAUUCCGAUAACGAACGAGACCUCAGCUUGUUAACUAG